CCUACGGGAGGCAGCAGUGGGGAAUAUUGCACAAUGGGGGAAACCCUGAUGCAGCGACGCCGCGUGAGUGAAGAAGGAUUUCGUUACGUAAAGCUCUAUCAACAGGGAAGAAAAUGACGGUAUCUCUGUAAGAUGCCCCGGCUAACUACGUGUCAGCAGCCGCGGUAAUACGUAGGGGGCAAGCGUUAUCCGGAUUUACUGGGUGUAAAGGGAGCGUAUACGGUGUGCCAAGUCUGGAGUGAAAUGCCGCGGCUUAACUGCGGAACUGCAUUGGAAACUGGCGGACUAGAGUGCGGGAGGGGUAGGCGGAAUUCCUAGUGUAGCGGUGAAAUGCGUAGAUAUUAGGAGGAACACCAGUGGCGAAGGCGGCUUACUGGACCGUAACUGACGGUGAGGCGCGAAAGCGUGGGGAGCAAACAGGAUUAGAUACCCGAGUAGUC
rnacentral:rRNA from 1 species